rnacentral:rRNA from 1 species
GAUGAACGCUGGCGGCGUGCCUAAUACAUGCAAGUCGAGCGAACAGACGAGGAGCUUGCUCCUCUAACGUUAGCGGCGGACGGGUGAGUAACACGUGGAUAACCUACCUAUAAGACUGGGAUAACUUCGGGAAACCGGAGCUAAUACCGGAUAAUAUAUUGAACCGCAUGGUUCAAUAGUGAAAGACGGUUUUGCUGUCACUUAUAGAUGGAUCCGCGCCGCAUUAGCUAGUUGGUAAGGUAACAGCUUACCAAGGCAACGAUGCGUAGCCGACCUGAGAGGGUGAUCGGCCACACUGGAACGGAGACACGGUCCAGACUCCUACGGGAGGCAGCAGUAGGGAAUCUUCCGCAAUGGGCGAAAGCCUGACGGAGCAACGCCGCGUGAGUGAUGAAGGUCUUCGGAUCGUAAAACUCUGUUAUUAGGGAAGAACAAAUGUGUAAGUAACUAUGCACGUCUUGACGGUACCUAAUCAGAAAGCCACGGCUAACUACGUG